AGUGAACGCUGGCGGUAGGCCUAACACAUGCAAGUCGAACGGCAGCACAGUAAGAGCUUGCUCUUACGGGUGGCGAGUGGCGGACGGGUGAGGAAUACAUCGGAAUCUACUUUUUCGUGGGGGAUAACGCAGGGAAACUUACGCUAAUACCGCAUACGACCUACGGGUGAAAGCAGGGGAUCUUCGGACCUUGCGCGAUUGAAUGAGCCGAUGUCGGAUUAGCUAGUUGGCGGGGUAAAGGCCCACCAAGGCGACGAUCCGUAGCUAGUCUGAGAGGAUGAUCAGCCACACUGGAACUGAGACACGGUCCAGACUCCUACGGGAGGCAGCAGUGGGGAAUAUUGGACAAUGGGCGCAAGCCUGAUCCAGCCAUACCGCGUGGGUGAAGAAGGCCUUCGGGUUGUAAAGCCCUUUUGUUGGGAAAGAAAAGCAGCAGGUUAAUACCCCGCUGUUCUGACGGUACCCAAAGAAUAAGCACCGGCUAACUUCGUG
rnacentral:rRNA from 1 species